UACGGAGGGUGCGAGCGUUGUCCGGAAUCACUGGGCGUAAAGGGCGCGUAGGCGGUCUGCUAAGCGUGCGGUGAAAGCCCGGGGCUCAACCCCGGGUCUGCCGUGCGAACUGGUGGACUAGAGCACUGUAGAGGCGAGUGGAAUUCCGGGUGUAGCGGUGGAAUGCGUAGAGAUCCGGAAGAACACCGGUGGCGAAGGCGGCUCGCUGGGCAGUAGCUGACGCUGAUGCGCGACAGCGUGGGGAG
rnacentral:rRNA from 1 species